AGCGACGCCGCGUGAGCGAUGAAGGCCUUCGGGUUGUAAAGCUCUGUCGCAUGGGAAUAAGACAGUGAAUGUACCAUGCAAGAAAGGAUCGGCUAACUUCGUGCCAGCAGCCGCGGUAAGACGAGGGAUCCUAGCGUUGUUCGGAAUCAUUGGGCGUAAAGCGGGUGCAUGUGGCUUUGUAAGUCAGGUGUGAAAGCCCAGGGCUUAACCCUGGAAGUGCAUUUGAUACUGCAAAGCUUGAGUGCUGGAGAGGUAAGUAGAAUUCCUGGUGUAGUGGUGAAAUACGUAGAUAUCAGGAGGAAUACCGGAGGCGAAGGCGGCUUACUGGCCAGACACUGACACUCAGACCCGAAAGCGUGGGGAUCAAACAGGAUUAGAUACCCUGGUAGUCCACGCCGUAAACGAUGGAUACUUGUCGUUGGAGGUAUUGACCCCUUCAGUGACGAAGCUAACGCGUUAAGUAUCCCGCCUGGGGAGUACGGUCGCAAGAUUAAAACUCAAAGAAAUUGACGGGGGCCCGCACAAGCGGUGGAUCAUGUGGUUUAAUUCGAUGCAACGCGAAGAACCUUACCUGGGCUUGACAUGUACUGGAAGGGUGGCAGAAAUGUCCCCGCCCGCAAGGGCCGGUAUACAGGUGCUGCAUGGCUGUCGUCAGCUCGUGUCGUGAGAUGUUGGGUUAAGUCCCGCAACGAGCGCAACCCUUGCCUUUAGUUGCCAGCA
rnacentral:rRNA from 1 species